UACGUAGGGUGCGAGCGUUAAUCGGGAUUACUGGGCGUAAAGCGUGCGCAGGCGGUUGAUUAAGUCUGAUGUGAAAGCCCCGGGCUCAACCUGGGAAUGGCAUUGGAAACUGGUCAGCUGGAGUGUGGCAGAGGGGGGUGGAAUUCCGCGUGUAGCAGUGAAAUGCGUAGAGAUGCGGAGGAACACCGAUGGCGAAGACAGCCCCCUGGGCCAACACUGACGCUCAGGCACGAAAGCGUGGGGAGCAAACAGG
rnacentral:rRNA from 1 species